rnacentral:rRNA from 1 species
AUUGAACGCUGGCGGCAGGCUUAACACAUGCAAGUCGAGCGGGGGAGGUUGCUUCGGUAACUGACCUAGCGGCGGACGGGUGAGUAAUGCUUAGGAAUCUGCCUAUUAGUGGGGGACAACAUUCCGAAAGGGAUGCUAAUACCGCAUACGCCCUACGGGGGAAAGCAGGGGAUCUUCGGACCUUGCGCUAAUAGAUGAGCCUAAGUCGGAUUAGCUAGUUGGUGGGGUAAAGGCCUACCAAGGCGACGAUCUGUAGCGGGUCGGAGAGGAUGAUCCGCCACACUGGGACUGAGACACGGCCCAGACUCCUACGGGAGGCAGCAGUGGGGAAUAUUGGACAAUGGGCGGAAGCCUGAUCCAGCCAUGCCGCGUGUGUGAAGAAGGCCUUUUGGUUGUAAAGCACUUUAAGCGAGGAGGAGGCUACUAGUACUAAUACUACUGGAUAGUGGACGUUACUCGCAGAAUAAGCACCGGCUAACUCUGUGCCAGCAGCCGCCGUAACAC